rnacentral:tRNA from 1 species
AGGGAUGUCGGUUAACUGGCAAACCAUUGGUCUCCAAAACCAAGACUCAGGGUUCGAGUCCCUGCAUCCCUGCCA